UCAGGCAAAAGCUAGUUGGAACAUGAUCAGGUGGAAAAUCAUGUAUAAAUUAUCUUUAAGUUGGUCUUAAACUAUGGUAUCAGGGCGCUCAAAUCCAGGGUUGUCAACUUUGGUCAUUUGGCCGUACACUCAUGUAUGUAACAGCAUUAUUACCUUGUAAAUAGUCUGCAGGGUUUGCAGACUACCCCAACGCUUUUGAUGUAGCAAAUUUUUGGUUUAUAAUAGUAUAGUAUAGAUUUGCCGUGUGAUUUCUUGCGUGAGCGUGAGUCAAAAAGCUUGAGUGUUACGUCUGAAGCGUGAGUAGGAACUGACUGCGAGACACACAUUUGAAUCAAUUCCCACGCUCACUCGCCACACUAUGUAUUUCUCAUGCUGAGAAGCAAGGGAUAAUGGUGCGUUCGAUUAUCUGUUUCGCCUUCUUAUACGCCUUCUUUCCGAUGCUGUUGGUGUGCGAUACAACUGUCACUACCCAAAAUGUUACCCACCGAAAAUGUAACUCCCACUACCACGCAUGCGCACGCUUACGACUUCUGCGUGAUGGCAUGCUAUUUUCACGGCUUUGCGUCACAUUUCAUCGUCUGUUGAUUUUUGAUGAGAACGUCGACAGCGAGAGGAAAGAAGAUUUAAUCGGUUAGUGAUGGAGACCUUCGAUUUUUACCCCACUUCAAAAGAUUUUAUUUCGCACAGUGUAAUUACCACACAUUCGUGUCAUUUAUGGCAGCUAUGUCUUCUGGUGCUAAAUGAAGCGAAUUAUAUUUGUUUCUGACGACCGAUUGUUUUAUCUUGGGCCAAACCGCACGUCCAUGCGUUUGGUUGUUUUAAAUGAGGAUGAAAAGCGAUCUGUCUUCAUGGUCUGCCACGAUAACCCUGGACCUGGAAAUCAUCACAGUGUCCGAGGGACAAAGGACAGGGUUAUAGCUCGAUACUUCUGGUCAAAAUUAGAUAUGGAUGUGGCUGACUGGGUAAGUAUUGUUAACGAUUAAUAUGCGUUUCAUAGUGAUAGGCGACAUAAUCUUUUAAGUCACUGUUCAUGAUUAAUAAAAUCGCUUAAUCUCCACAAUUAUCGGUAACCCUUUACUUGACGUGGAACAAAUACUUAGUCACUACAGCAGUACAAAUCAUGAACAGAUGUAGUCUCUACUUGAAAUUAAAAUACCUUUAUUUUGCUUUUUUCCCUUUAUCAAUGUGUGAUAUGAUUUCUCCCUUUGAUUACGUAAAAUGUCUUGUAAAUACCUUGUACAUAAUUGUAAAUAUAUCGUUUGUGAGUAGCCGAGAAUGUUGUCAUGCGCAGGGGGGUUGGACGGUGAGUUGACCUUGGGCCCCCAGAGGUUUUUUUCUCCUUGCUGAUGAGUUUUUGGUUUCUCUCUUGUUUUCUGGCCUUUUAUUUCUGGUUUUGUAAUUUGAUAAAUUUUCAUUUUGUUACUUGUUUUAUGUUGUGCAAAUAAAAGUUCCUCACCGUU